GACGAACGCUGGCGGCGUGCCUAAUACAUGCAAGUAGAACGCGGAAGGAGGAGCUUGCUUCUCCGGAUGAGUUGCGAACGGGUGAGUAACGCGUAGGUAACCUGCCUGGUAGCGGGGGAUAACUAUUGGAAACGAUAGCUAAUACCGCAUAACAGUAGAUAUUGCAUGAUAUCUGCUUGAAAGGUGAAAUUGCAUCACUACCAGAUGGACCUGCGUUGUAUUAGCUAGUUGGUGAGGUAACGGCUCACCAAGGCGACGAUACAUAGCCGACCUGAGAGGGUGAUCGGCCACACUGGGACUGAGACACGGCCCAGACUCCUACGGGAGGCAGCAGUAGGGAAUCUUCGGCAAUGGACGGAAGUCUGACCGAGCAACGCCGCGUGAGUGAAGAAGGUUUUCGGAUCGUAAAGCUCUGUUGUAAGAGAAGAACGAGUGUGAGAGUGGAAAGUUCACACUGUGACGGUAUCUUACCAGAAAGGGACGGCUAACUACGUG
rnacentral:rRNA from 1 species